rnacentral:rRNA from 1 species
UUCUGGCUCAGGAUGAACGCUAGCGACAGGCUUAACACAUGCAAGUCGAGGGGCAGCAUAAAAGUAGCAAUACUUGGUGGCGACCGGCGCACGGGUGAGUAACGCGUAUGCAACCUACCUAUCAGAGGGGAAUAACCCGGCGAAAGUCGGACUAAUACCGCAUAAAACAGGGGCACCGCAUGGUGAUAUUUGUUAAAGAAAUUCGCUGAUAGAUGGGCAUGCGUUCCAUUAGGUAGUUGGUGAGGUAACGGCUCACCAAGCCGACGAUGGAUAGGGGAACUGAGAGGUUGGUCCCCCACACUGGUACUGAGACACGGACCAGACUCCUACGGGAGGCAGCAGUGAGGAAUAUUAGUCAAUGGGCGGGAGCCUGAACCAGCCAAGUCGCCGUGAAGGAAGAAGGAUCUAUGGUUCGUAAACCUCUUUUGCAGGGGAAUAAAGUGCAGGACGUGUCCUGUUUUGUAUGUACCCUGAGAAUAAGGAUCGGCUAACUCCGUGCCAGCCGCCGC